AUUGAACGCUGGCGGCAGGCCUAACACAUGCAAGUCGAGCGGAUGAAGGGAGCUUGCUCCUGGAUUCAGCGGCGGACGGGUGAGUAAUGCCUAGGAAUCUGCCUGGUAGUGGGGGAUAACGUCCGGAAACGGGCGCUAAUACCGCAUACGUCCUGAGGGAGAAAGUGGGGGAUCUUCGGACCUCACGCUAUCAGAUGAGCCUAGGUCGGAUUAGCUAGUUGGUGGGGUAAAGGCCUACCAAGGCGACGAUCCGUAACUGGUCUGAGAGGAAGAUCAGUCACACUGGAACUGAGACGCGGUCCAGACUCCUACGGGAGGCAGCAGUGGGGAAUAUUGGACAAUGGGCGAAAGCCUGAUCCAGCCAUGCCGCGUGUGUGAAGAAGGUCUUCGGAUUGUAAAGCACUUUAAGUUGGGAGGAAGGGCAGUAAGUUAAUACCUUGCUGUUUUGACGUUACCAACAGAAUAAGCACCGGCCAACUUCGUG
rnacentral:rRNA from 1 species